AACGAACGCUGGCGGCAUGCCUAACACAUGCAAGUCGAACGAGACCUUCGGGUCUAGUGGCGCACGGGUGCGUAACGCGUGGGAACCUUCCCUUAGGUUCGGAAUAACUCCCCGAAAGGGGUGCUAAUACCGGAUAAUGUCUUCGGACCAAAGAUUUAUCGCCUUUGGAUGGGCCCGCGUUGGAUUAGCUAGCUGGUAGGGUAAAAGCCUACCAAGGCGACGAUCCAUAGCUGGUCUGAGAGGAUGAUCAGCCACACUGGGACUGAGACACGGCCCAGACUCCUACGGGAGGCAGCAGUGGGGAAUAUUGGACAAUGGGCGAAAGCCUGAUCCAGCAAUGCCGCGUGAGUGAUGAAGGCCUUAGGGUUGUAAAGCUCUUUUACCCGGGAUGAUAAUGACAGUACCGGGAGAAUAAGCUCCGGCUAACUCCGUG
rnacentral:rRNA from 1 species